GGCUUGCAAAUACCAGUCUCCCCACAGCAAGUUUUCCAGAAGAUGGUCUUUGGACUAGAACUGCAGUAUCAGCUCUCCUAGGUCUCCAGCCUGCCAGCGAAUGCUGAAGAUUUGGCCCUGUCAGUCUCCAUAAUCAUGUUCCCAGAGAAGCAGAGAAGGGGAGCAUACCUUUAUGAGGCUUCACAGGAGAGGUGUUCACAGGACAGAUGAAUUCGGAGCUGGAUCCUGAAGGGAAAAGUAGAGUUUUCCAGGCACAUGAAGAUGAAGAGUGGUAUAAGACAGAUGGAGGCCAGAAAGUACGUGCAGAGGAUGAAGAAAAAAAAGGAAACCCCAGGCUGCCAGCACCGAAGAAGGAAAAUCAAGGCAGCACCAAC
rnacentral:lncRNA from 1 species